AUAGCUCAGUGGUAGAGUGCUUGACUAGUAUGCAUGAGGGCCUGGGUUCAAAUUCCCAGU
rnacentral:tRNA from 1 species